UACGUAGGGUGCGAGCGUUAAUCGGAAUUACUGGGCGUAAAGCGUGCGCAGGCGGUUCGUUGUGUCGGCGGUGAAAUCCCCGGGCUCAACCUGGGAAUGGCCGUUGAAACUGGCGAACUGGAGUGUGGCAGAGGGGGGUGGAAUUCCGCGUGUAGCAGUGAAAUGCGCAGAUAUCAGGAGGAACACCGGUGGCGAAGGCGGGUCUCUGGGCAACAACUGACGCUGAGGAGCGAAAGCGUGGGGAGCGAACAGG
rnacentral:rRNA from 1 species